AGAAAUUGAUGGUUCAUUAACAUGUUGCACUUACUUUUAUUUUUAUUUUGUUCUUUAAAAACAGUUGAACAACACAUUCAAUAUAUGAGUUAUCUAUUUAAUAAAUGAUAACACCAUCUUCUGCAAUUAUAGGAUUACUUUUUCAUAUGCAAUGUGCAAAUCAUUAGAGUUGUGAAGGAACUAGAUUGGCGUUAUGUUGGAUGUCGAGAUUGUGCAAAAAAAACAAUCAACUUCAGGACAAGUCUGUUGCAAAUCAUGUAAUAGGGAAGUAGUGGCUCAAAUCAGAAAAUAGUAGGCAGUCAGAUUUUUAAGAUUAGUUUGUCACAAGCUAUUAAAAACAAAUGGCUGGAGAUCGGGAAACAAUUGGUCUCGAGAAAGGUGACGGAGAAGGUCGUUAAGAACAUCUCGGAGUAGGAAAUUUCCACG